AUGGCAUAGUUGUUAACGAAAGAGAUCUUCCAAAAGCCAAAUUUGCACAUGUCUACAAGGUGAAUAUAUUUUUCACGCCAGAAAUACCAAGAAUACAAUAUCAUGACAGAAAGUUGACCAUCUUCACUUGAAAAAGAAGCAAACCCCAAGUUCAUGCUUUCAUCUUGAAGAUUGAAGAACCCGUAAUUCAAACAACAGUGCAGGAAGAAUGCCUUCAAUUGAUCUCAAAGAAUUUCAAGAAAAGAUAUCCAUUCAAUUAAGACCUUUGCAAAGAUCCCUCCAGUUCUGGGCUAGGGCUGCUGAUAUCUACACAGGUUAUAAGGUGUUUCAACUUAGGGUUAGUUUUGAAAAAGAUGUGGAGAAAGCAGAGGCAAUGUGGGAGAGACAACAUGAAGAUGCUGCUGAUAAAAUUUAUUCCAUGUGUUAUGACAUGGGUGGAUUCUUUCUCAAGGUAGCUCAAGUUAUUGGGAAGCCCGAUUUGGCCCCGGCUGCAUGGGUGAGGAGAUUAGUAACCUUGUGCGAUCAAGCCCCGGGAACCCCGUCUAACGUAGUGCGCCUUAUUCUCGAAAAUGAGUUGGGUAAAACCGUUGAUGACAUGUUUGAAAGAUUUGAUUGGGAUCCUAUUGGCUCUGCUUCAAUUGCACAGGUUCAUCGAGCUAGGCUGAAAGGUGAUAAAAAAGACGUUGUAGUGAAGGUGCAACAUCCUGGAGUUCAAGAUUUGAUGAUGACGGAUCUUAGGAAUUUACAAGCUUUUGCACUAUACGUACAAAAAACAGAUAUCAAGUUUGAUUUGUACUCCGUGUGCAAAGAAAUGGAAAAACAGUGUAUGAAUUCGACUUUACAAGAGAAGCAGAAGCUAUGGAUAGAAUAAGAAGUUUUUUGAGUGAAAAUAACAAAAAGACCGUUGUUAAAGUGCCACGGGUGAUCAAGGAUGUGGUCUCUAGGAGGGUGUUGGCGAUGGAAUAUAUAGAUGGAAUCCCGAUCCUGAACCUGAAAGAUGAAAUCAUAAAAAGAGGAAUAAAUCCCGACGGUAAGGUUGCAGCAGCAGCAAAGCAGUAAGCUCCAUUGACCCGAGAGAACAUCCUAAAAAGUUUGACCCUUGCGUAUGGUCAAAUGAUACUCAAGAGUGGUUUUUUUCAUGCAGACCCCCACCCGGGAAAUAUUCUCAUUUGUAAACACUCAGAGGUGGCGUUGCUUGACUAUGGUCAAGUCAAAGAACUUCCUAACCCCUUGAGGCUCGGUUAUGCUAAUUUGGUUCUUGCUAUCGCCGAUAAUGAUCAAAUUAGGGCGUCCGAGGGCCUUAGGGAGCUCGGGAUUGAUACCUUGAGUCUGUGUGAGGAUGAACGAACAGAAUUGUUUAAGUUAGCACAAGUUAUGUUUGACACAAAGCUGCCACCUGGCGUCACGGUAUUGCAGCCUUUUGCAGAGGAUUCUUCGAUAAAGAAAAUUGCUGUUCAGGCGUUCCCAGAGGAAUUGUUUUCGGUUCUACGCACAGUGCACUUGUUAAGAGGGCUUAGUGUCGGUCUUGGGGUCAACUACUCGUGUGCUGAGGAAUGGCGACCUCUUGCCGAGGAAGCUUUAUAUUUUUCAGGCAGGCUAAAAGAUGAGGAUUUUAAGUCUAGAAACCGUCGUAGACGUAGGUUUUCCAGAAGAUCAUCGGGGUGGAGCAAGUAGCCGGAAACCGCCUCUUUCUUGUUUCUCCGACAACCAUAGUUACAGAUUAUUCAGUCUAUGUUUUCUCCAGUUUUGAUUUCGCAGUAACUUAUAUUUUAUGCAUUGGGAAUUGUUAAAAAACAUUUGAUUAUAGUUUUAGUUAAUAAAAAGCAUAUGCAAUUAGAUAUUUAUAUAUUUUAUGAACAGUUUUGGUA